CAGGUUAUGGAUGCGCUUUUCAAAUUUACAUUAUGCCAACUCAUAAACAUUUAAUGGAGAAAGCAUUUCCAUCGGACUAGUUACUGCCAGUUAGCAGUUUAAAAAGGAGGAGGGAAUGUAUGAAGGCCCCUGUAUGUGUAAAAUACUACAAGACUGACAAUAUGUACAUACAUAUAUCUUCAGAUGCACUUAAAUGACUGAUGUGUAAAUAGUAGAUGUAAGCAGCAAAAUUAAUAUAAAUAAAUACAAAUUAAAAUA